AAUAGCCUAACGGCUGAACCAGCAACUUGGAGGAAUGAAUAGCGAAAGCUAAUUGCAACAUAGAUAUGUUGCAAUAUCGACUAUGUCGAAUAAAAUUCUGGUUAGAAUUAUGAUAAUGACAUUGUUUAACCAUGUGUCUUGACUAAAUUACGUGCCAGCAGUCGCGGUAAUACGUAGAAGACUAGUGUUAUUCAUCUUUAAUAGGUUUAAAGGGUACCUAGACGGUAAAUCAAGCCAUAAUAGGAACUAAUUUACUAGAGUUACUUACGUGGGGGUUUUAAAGUACUAAUGGUGUAGAGAUAAAAUUUUGUAAUACCAUUUUUCGAAAGAAAAGUUAUGGCACUGGUAAAGGCGAAAGCAUCCCCUUAUGUGAUAACUGACGUUAAAGGACGAAGGCUUUGGAUCGCGAAUAGGAUUAGAUACCCUAGUAGUCAAAGCAGAAAAUUAUGAGUGUCAUAGAUUAGAUGUAAAUAUUUAUUCUAUAAAUGAAAAUGUAAGCACUCCACCUCAAGAGUAAUUUGGCAACAUUGGAACUGAAAUCAUUAGACCGUUUCUGAAACCAGUAGUGAAGUAUGUUGUUUAAUUUGAUAAUCCGCAAAAAACCUUACCACAGCUUGAAUAUUUAUAUCUUUGGUAUAUUUACAAGCGUUGCACGGCUGUCUUCAGUUAAUGUCGUGAGACUUUGGUUAGAUCCAUUGAAUUAACGUAAGCCCUUACUUUAUUUAUAGAUAAAGUAGUUCUCCGCUAUAUUGGAUAAGAUAAAAGGGACUAAGACAAGUCAUCAUGGCCUGAAUGCUGU
rnacentral:rRNA from 1 species